rnacentral:RNase_P_RNA from 2 species
UGGAGCAAGAGCGCGACUGACGGUACUCAUCUUCAGAGGUGAGAGCUGAGGAAGCUCCCAACUACGCGUCGACGCCGGUCCUGUGCGAACAGGGAGGUGAGAGCCUCGCUCUGGGAACAGAAACGACACCCCCGAGCUAGAGAUGACAAGGAUACAGCAUCUGAAGCUGUUGAGGACUAGUUCGGACGGGAUGAAACGGCCCAUCACCGGGUAGCAACUCCAAGAAUACACCUGCGAUGUGUCGGCCUGAGGUGUAGGGUAGGAGGCUUAGUCUGAUGUCGCGAAGCUCCUCUCUGGUAACGGAUUGGAGCAGAACAGAAUUGGGGCUAUUCCUUGCACCA